ACGCUGGCGGCGUGCCUAACACAUGCAAGUCGAACGGUAACAGGUCCUUCGGGACGCUGACGAGUGGCGCACGGGUGAGUAACGCGUGGAUAUCUGCCUAUUAGUGGGGGACAACUACGGGAAACCGUAGCUAAUACCGCAUAAGCUCUACGGAGGAAAGCAGGGGACCCCUCGGGGCSUUGCGCUGAUAGAUGAGUCCGCGUCUGAUYAGCUAGUUGGUAGGGUAAUGGCUUACCAAGGCGAUGAUCAGUAACUGGUUUGAGAGGAUGAUCAGUCACACUGGAACUGAGACACGGUCCAGACUCCUACGGGAGGCAGCAGUGGGGAAUAUUGCACAAUGGGCGAAAGCCUGAUGCAGCGACGCCGCGUGCGGGAAGAAGGCCUUCGGGUUGUAAACCGCUUUCAAUUGGGAAGAAGAGAUGAGGGCUAAUAUCCCUCUGAUUUGACGGUACCUUUAGAAGAAGCACCGGCUAAUUUCGUGCCAGCAGCCGCGGUAAUACGAAAGGUGCAAGCGUUGUUCGGAUUUACUGGGCGUAAAGAGAUCGUAGGUGGUUUGUUAAGUCGGAUGUGAAAUCCCGGGGCUCAACCCCGGAACUGCAUUCGAUACUGGCAGGCUAGAGUUUGGGAGGGGUAAGCGGAAUUCCGUGUGUAGCAGUGAAAUGCGUAGAUAUACGGAGGAACACCUGAGGCGAAGGCGGCUUACUGGACCAAUACUGACACUGAGGAUCGAAAGCGUGGGUAGCAAACAGGAUUAGAUACCCUGGUAGUCCACGCCCUAAACGAUGUCAACUAGCCGUAGCGGGUAUCGACCCCUGCUGUGGCGAAGCUAACGCGAUAAGUUGACCGCCUGGGGAGUACGGUCGCAAGA
rnacentral:rRNA from 1 species